ensembl:lncRNA
CACGUGUGCUGCUGUUUGUACUCUUACCUUGAUACAGCGCCUUUCCCCACAGUCACUGUCUGGGAUGGUUCAGGAAGUGUUCAUCUGUCUGGAGAAAAAUGGUCAUUAAGGAGCAACAAUAUCCCACCGUACACUCAUACUGACUUUUGACACGCUUAUUUGAUUUGCAGUUUGGCUCGGACUGAAUCAUCAGCAGUUUCCCAGUGCUCGGGGAGAUGACUCUAUGAAACCACAGUGAUUCACAUGGUCUUUGGUGUGUGUGUGUUCAAGACAGAAUGGAAAAAGUGGGACCCUUAAGAUUCUGCAUACAGAAGACAUGCUGUUCUGCAAAAGCCAACAUAAAAGAAGAAAAAUGUUGAGUUGCUUCGCCAACAACCACACAAACAAACAUUUGUAUAAGGUCAUUACCAAGCACACAGAACACAAAACAAUCAACUCUCUUUUCUAUAAUAAUCAGAAGCAUGUGAGAAUAUUCUAGAAAAGGCUAAUACAAUCAAUGGAACAAAUCUAAACUAAGUCCAUCUAAACAAGCCUAAGAGGAACUCUGUUUUGGGAACCUGACCUUUGAGCAAGAUCUCUCCUCACAGUCACCUCACUCUCCCAUUUCUAUAGUGAGAACAAGAAAUAACUCCACUACCACUGGUUAUUCCUCAUUUAAAAUCAGUUUAUCUACUGAAAUACCUUUGUGACUGUACUUGUAAAUAAUAUUAUAUAGUACUAUACAGAAAGAAAGACAUAUUGUCUGAGUUUGAUUUCAUUUUAAAUUUGACUCAUCAAGGAAGCUUCGCCCUUUCUUCUGUUUUGUUUUUUCUUGUUGACUUUUUUAUUGCAUCAUAUACUUAUGUAAUUACUCGCUAUUAAUAUGUAUUCUAAAUGAGAGUGCAGUCCCAUUUUGCAAUUGUGAAACUGAAUUCUGUUAGACAGCAGUUGAAAACACCCCUACACAUGUGUUUUUCUGUAUGUCAAUAAAUGUGCUUAAUCUGUCCAAGAUCGUUUGGCUCUUGCCACCUUCCACUGUAACCACAUUAUAGCUCACAGAAGAAAAAAAAAUAAAAAUAAAAAAUUCAGCCUUAGCAUAAUGUCAAUUCAACUUUUAAUCAUCACUACCUAUGUUUUGGUUAGAUUAAAAAUAAGCGUAAUACAGUCACUCUUGAUCCACAUUAAAUGUGAAAUUAUUAUUACUGCAUUAAUAAAGUAUAGAAUUUGC